rnacentral:lncRNA from 1 species
UUUGAUUUAGAUAAUUAUAAUUAGAAAAAUCAAAUGCACAGGUAGUUAAAGAAUUUUAGAUUCAAACUCAAAUAGUUAAAACUAUUAUAACAUAACCACUUAAAUAAUAUUUUACUCUCAUGACCUUGUCGUACUUGCAUUCCUCUUCAUGUUGUCUCUAUGACAUGGGAUCUAUAGCACUUCAACGUCUAAUUUCCUCUCACUUCAACCACAGUAAGUAUUGGAUAUGAUAUAAUAGUUAAGUGUUUAGUAUAAUACAGUAGGGUUAUAAAGUAAACACUAGUUGUGUAUUUGUGAACCGUGUAUUUUCAUCAUUAAAUCAUGGUCAUUGAUUCACACUUGUGUAUUAAUAAUCAAAGGCUGUGAUUAGUUCACUAGUGUUC